UCCACCGCCUUUAACUGCAUGUGUUCUAUUUUCCCCCAAUUUCCGGUCCAGAAACGCGGCUCGAUGAGGGAGCAGGCGGGAUCGCGUCACGUGAUUCACUGGCACUAGAUUUUUAGAACAAAGCUGCAGUGAAGUCGAGUCGGAUAUGAUUGGAGUUUUCUACCAAGUAUUUUCUGUUUGUGGCAGCGUCAAUCAUCGUGCUUCUGUGAAAUCGUCAUCCGGCAACUGUUUAUGCAGCUAAUAGCAGAUUUCUUGAGGCAAUUUAUUGAGGCAAUGUUCCUUUUCUUGUGUUAUUAGAGUAGUAUUGUAAUCUUCAGUGCCAGUGUUGCUGCAUUCACCUGUUAAGAGACGGUGCCACCCCAACACAACAACCUGUCAUGAAGACUUCAAGAGAUCACCAGUUACAAGCUCAUAUGAAUCUGAAUAUGAUGUAGGCCUAUACCUAAGAAGUGUUUGUCAGCCACCAUUAUGAAGAUGUCGAAAGAUCACCAGUAACAAGCUCAUAAUGAUCUGAAUAUGGUAAAGGCCUAUAACUUAAAAGUGUCAUGAAGACUUCAAGAGAUCACCAGUUACAAGCUCAUAUGAAUCUGAAUAUGAUGUAGGCCUAUACCUAAGAAGUGUUUGUCAGCCACCAUUAUGAAGAUGUCGAAAGAUCACCAGUAACAAGCUCAUAAUGAUCUGAAUAUGGUAAAGGCCUAUAACUUAAAAGGUAAUACAUAAUUCUGAACGAUUGUUUUUGUUGGCUUUUGAAGGAUGUGUUGGUAAAUGGAGCUCCACAUUAAAUAGAACUAGCGCCAAGAUUAAAUUCAUCUAGCUAAAAAAAGGCUGAUCACCUUCCAUUGCCAUGCAUUUUUAAGUCUCAAAUAAUUGAUGGCACAAGUUUGAUAAAACUGGUGGAAAGCUCUCGAAUUUGUCAAUUUUAGGCAAAUAUUAAACUGCUAGACCUAGUACCCUUUUUUAAAUUUAUUUAUAAUAGUGGCUGCAUGGUGCUGGUAGUCUUAAUAAACAAUACUUCUGAUUAAAUCUGGGUUGGGGGGUGUCUGUUGCAUUCCCCCUCCCAAUCAAAACCUCUUUAGGUCAGUUUUCCACCCAAAUUAUCUUGCACAUUUGAGGUAUUGCCUUUGAAAUUAUAAUUGACCAAUGAAACCUUGACUUGACAAAAGGAAAGUUAGCAAAACAGUCUAACACUUGGAUUUCUUGUUGUCUUGUGAGAAAAUAUGCAUAAGGCACCGACCAUGAAUCGCAGAACCUCUGCUGUUGGCCACAGCAGAUAAAUAAUCUGCCAGUGUAUAGCGUAGAAAUCCAAGGCAUUGUGUUCUAUUAAGCCUCAAAUAGUCAAUGGCACAAGUUUGAUAAAACUGCUCUUGUGACCCUUUGCCAUUUUGUUAAGUUUUAGACAUAAAUUUGAUAAAUUUGCCGGACCUUCCCCCUGUGAAUUUUAGUUUUGGGCUCAAAUUGGCUAAAACUGCUAGUCUUACCCCUUGUGUUUUUUAAACUGUAGGCCAAAUUUGAUAAAACUGCUGGACUCGCCACUUGCGAUUGUUCAAUUUGAGGCUAAAAUUCAGUAAACCUGCUGGACUUUAUACCCCUUGCUAUUUUAAAAUUUUAGAUGCAAACUUAUUUUUUUCUUUUAAAUGUUUUUCUUUGUAGUGUUAUGAAGACUUCAAGAGAUCACCAGUUACAAGCUCAUAUGAAUCUGAAUAUGAUGUAGGCCUAUACCUAAGAAGUGUUUGUCAGCCACCAUUAUGAAGAUGUCGAAAGAUCACCAGUAACAAGCUCAUAAUGAUCUGAAUAUGGUAAAGGCCUAUAACUUAAAAGGGCCAGUAGUUCCUGGAGAUCAACUGCCUUGGGCAAACAUCAGUAUCAUCACGACAUCCGAGCAGCUCAUCUGUGGAUCAUCAGAGAACAAAAGUAAGAUAUUCUUUUUAGAUGAGUGGAGCCUGGUUCAUACUUCCUGCAAAUGCGAAGCAAUUGUUGCAGUCAAAAAAUAAUUCAUAGCAGUUCAAAUCUGCUCAACUCACUUGUGAAUGUUGUAGGGAAAAGAGGAUUCUGACAUAAAAUUUGGUAUUUGCAGGAAGUAUCAACCGGGCUUUACAUGUGUUGAUAUUUGAUGCUUUACAUGUAGUGGGUUGUUUUGGUAGCUCACUAUCUUGUACCUAAGUACACCCUUGCAAGCAAACAAGCAUAUACGCGUUUUUUUGUGCGCUAACUUGGUGGUGCCUGCGGAACGAGUGGUGCGUGCGGAUCGAAAUGGUGGUGCCUGCGGAAUAAAACUAAAGGGACCUGGACACGUGCAC